CCUACGGGGGGCAGCAGUGAGGAAUAUUGGUCAAUGGGCGGGAGCCUGAACCAGCCAAGCCGCGUGAGGGAAGAAGGUACAGCGUAUCGUAAACCUCUUUUGUCAGGGAACAAAGGCGGGGACUAGUCCCCGGACGAGGGUACCUGAAGAAAAAGCAUCGGCUAACUCCGUUCCAGCAGCCGCGGUAAUACGGAGGAUGCGCGCGUUAUCCGGAUUUAUUGGGUUUUAAGGGUGCGCAGGCGGCCUGUUAAGUCAGCGGUAAAAGUCCGGGGCUCAACCCCGGCGAGCCGUUGAAACUGGCGGGCUGGAGUGGGAGAGAAGUACGCGGAAUGCGCGGUGUAGCGGUGAAAUGCUUAGAUAUCGCGCAGAACCCCGAUUGCGAAGGCAGCAUGCCGGCUCCAGACUGACGCUGAGGCACGAAAGCGUGGGUAUCGAACAGGAUUAGAUACCCGAGUAGUC
rnacentral:rRNA from 1 species